GUUUAAAUGCAGUUAUCCAAAAAAAAUUUUUUUAAGUUCAUGGACUCCAGGUUAAGAACCUCUAGUUCCAACUUCUUAUGAAAUUUUAGUAAUCAGUAAAAGGCAAUACAGAAGAGGAUUAGGGUGCUGAGAGAGGAAUUCUUGCUUUUGUUUCUCCAGCAUGGAGCACAUGGUAAGCAUGGAAUAAAUGUUUGUUGACUAAGUUGGAGGAGGUAUAGACAGGUAGAAAAAGGAUUGAUAGAAAAUCAUUCAUCCAGACUCAUCUGUUAAAACUAAGUAUCUUUCAGAUUCAAAAUUUGCCACUAUUGGCAAACUGUUAGAUUCUGAAACCUCCAAGGUGCUCUGUCCUUGAUGCCAGAUGAUCUAAUUGUGUGAGCCUGGGCAAAUCACUUCAUGUCCCCAGCCAUGAAUUGUCUGACCUCGACAAUGGAAAUAAUAAGAAUCUUCCUGCCCAUUUCACAGAGAUGUUGCGAUGAUCAACAGAUAAACUAUGAAAAAUCACUUUGAAUUGCUGGAAAAAAAGGACUACGAAAAGAAAAAAAAAUUGUCAGGACUGGUGGCCAGCAUAAUGAUCCAGCCCCAGGCCUUGGGAGGCAACCUGAGCCAGGAGGAUACAUCUAGAAAAGCUUCUGUGCACAUAACAAUCCUUUCAGGCCCACUUUAUUAAGGUCUACAUUGAUUUCUCCCUUCUCUGAACACAGAUCAUUUUUUUCAUUUUGUGUUUUUCCAAGGUACAAUGUCAGAAUUAAAGGAACUCAAGCAUGCUUAAAUCCACAAAGCCAGUUUCCUUUCUCCUGCGAAAAUAAAAUAAAAUGGGAUAAAAUUUAAAAA